rnacentral:lncRNA from 1 species
GCUGGCUUGCGACCUGGCGUUUUCCCCGGGCUUGGCUUGUCAAAAAAUUCGGGUCCAUCUCCACGCAGACGCAACACGCUGGCAGUGAAGGUCCCCCUUCUCUCACCGCCGCACCGAUCGACGGCCGAUCCCCUGAACCGAGCCUUCACUGCCCAGUGCCCAGUUGCCCACCCACCCGCAGUUAGCUCACUUCCCACUCACACACUCCUUCACUGCCCAGUACCCACCCCACUGCUCCUGCUCGUUUCCACCCCCACCCCCACCACCAGCAGGUCCGGCACCACCACAGCAAGACGAGAAAACCACCACAAGCACACGCGGCAGUAGGAUCCGGCGGGCAGGCGCGCGCACCAGAGCAUCGCGCCGGAGAGAGCCGGCGAUGGCAGUCGGGGGGCN